rnacentral:rRNA from 1 species
UAUCUCUGUAGAGUCUGCAUAUCAAUAAGCGGAGGAAAAGAAACUAACUAGGAUUCCCUCAGUAACGGCGAGUGAAGCGGGAAGAGCUCAAAUUUGAAAUCUUCAAGGUUCUACCCUGACGAAUUGUAGUUUAAAGAAGUGUUUUCUGUUGGAGUUUUGGUAAAAGUUCUUUGGAAUAGGACAUCAUAGAGGGUGAGAAUCCCGUAUUUGACCAUUAUUUCCAGCUUUGUGAUACACUUUCAAAGAGUCGGAUUGUUUGGGAAUGCAGUCCAAAAUGGGUGGUAAAUUUCAUCUAAAGCUAAAUACUGGCGAGAGACCGAUAGCGAACAAGUACCGUGAGGGAAAGAUGAAAAGAACUUUGAAAAGAGAGUUAAACAGUACGUGAAAUUGUCAAAAGGGAAGCGUUUGACACCAGUGUUGUUUUCUCGAAAAUCAAUUAAAAAAGGCAGGAUUUUGUGUUGUAUUGACUUUAUCAGCUUUCUGCACUCUUUUCUUGUCUUUUUUAAUGCACUUUUCGUUUAACAAGUCAACAUCAAUUUCUUUUGUUGUAAAAGAGUCAUUGGAAGGUGGCUUUCACUUUCGGAUGAAAGUGUUUAUAGCCUUUGGCCUCUGCAAUCGGAGAGAUUGAGGUCUGCAGCGUAGAUCCUUCGGGGCUAGAUACGUAGAUGCUAAGUUAUAGUUUUUUAUAGACAACUUGUUGACUAUAAUUAAUCAUGUAGCUUACUCGUUUGCGCUAUUUUACCUACGCUUAGGAUGUUGACGAUCAGCUGAGCGCG